rnacentral:rRNA from 1 species
AUGUCCUGGGCAGGUGGCAAUCCCGGCGUGGUCACCUCCCUGACACAGUCCAUGUCUUCAAGGGCAAGAGGACGUGCACGUCGUGGCCGGGGCCGGGGCCGUGGCAGAUGUUCUGUGGCAGAAUAUGAAAUGGAUCAUCAUGAAACAUCUGCGCCUUCUUCGCCGAGUACCACUUCUGAUAGAGAGGACAAUGUUGGUUUCACUCCCGAACAAGUCCAUGUUGCUUGUUAUGCAGGGCCUGCAGAGCCUUCAUCCAGUACACUACUCAAUCCUAAGAUUAACCACCGUUCGGAUGCAAUUUUUGGCGAUCAGGCCCUGGAGCAGUUGAAGUUGCGUCACCACAAACCCUUGAAAUUUCAUGAGAGGUAUCGUCCUUAUUUGAGGGAUGCUGGAUUGCUUGGUCUCUCACAAAUCUGCCAGAGAAUGCCUCAAUUGGACAAAGCCUUGAUUACUGCUCUUGUUGAGCGUUGGAGGCCAGAGACCCACAGCUUUCACUUGGCUUCUGGGGAGAUGACAGUUACGCUUCAAGAUGUUGCCAUGUUGUUUGCUCUUCCUAUUGACGGCCGACCGGUUUGUUCUAGUACUGAUCAUGAUUAUGGGCAGAUGGUCCUUGAUUGUCUAGGUCAUGAUCCAAGAGUUCAAUCAAUGCCUGGAAAAUCCUUCUUGCAUUACAAAUGGCUGAAGAAGCACUUCUAUGAGUUACCAGAAGGGGCGGAUGAUCAUACGGUACAGAGGCAUGUUCGAGCAUACAUCCUGAGCCUUUUAUGUGGAGUGCUCUUUCCAGACGGGACAGGAAGGAUGAGUCUGAUAUAUCUUCCAUUGAUUGCUGAUCUUUCUCUUGUUGGAACAUACAGCUGGGGUUCCGCAGCCCUCGCAUUCCUCUACCGAGCUCUUUGCUCUGCUGCCUCCUCCCACAACAUGAAGAAUAUAGGUGGUUCAUUGCUUCUCUUGCAGCUUUGGAGUUGGGAGCACUCUCAUGUUGGCAGGCCAUUGGCUCGAUCUUCCUCAGUCGCGGAGACAGACAUCCCACAGGACUUGCCCCCAAUUGGCUUCCGUUGGGUGGGUGCUCGCGCACAAAGUGAGAAUGCUACCCGCUGUCUUAAGCAGUACAGGGAUGAGCUAAAUCUGCAGCGAGCAGAUCAGUUGAAAUGGGAACCAUACAUGCUCAUUGAGUCCUCGAGCUUACCACCACUUUGUACAAAAGAUGCUGACCUGUGGAUUACUCAAGCACCAUUAAUAAAUUUUCCUAUUGUUGAGAUGUAUCUGCCUGAGCGAGUGAUGCGGCAAUUCGGGCUUCGUCAAUGCAUUCCGCCACCUUUUCGACCUACCCUACAGACAUUACAUCGUAUUAGCCGACGUGGUAGAGAGCGUGAAAAUUGGGAAGAGACACAUCAUGAGUAUAUUCAGGAAUGGGAAGCACGGCGACAGCGCAUAUUUCGGGAGACUGAGCAGUUUGAUUUGUCAUCUUAUGACGAGUAUCUGCAGUGGUACUCUGGAGCUACACGGCGAUAUCUUGUGCCAUCGACCGGUGAUGAUGCUGAAGCAGGACUUUUAUCCCCACCCGAUGAUUCUUCCGAUCUUCAGUACAAAGCCAAGUCUCCUAUGAUCCGUAAAGCGGUUGAUAAGCUGCAUGGUAUGAUGAAGAAGGCCAAGACAGCCAUGGCAUCCACGGCUGAUACGGCCACACAAGCCUUAGUGUUUGAAUUUCUGCAUGGCUUUGAAGAUGUCCUCAGUGAUCUUGGUGAGAUCAAGGAAAGGGGUGGCCCAGAGGCUCCACCUUUUGAUUCAGUCACCGGCUCACAUUGUGGCUCUGCUGCUCCCCAUCAUGAGUCUCUACUUUUGCUUGAAGCUGAACAGAACAUUAUAUGUGACAAUCAAGAGGGUGAAUACCUGGAAGAUGAGGACCUUCACACGGUGGAGCAGGCUACGUUGGGCUUUGAACCUAUGGGUGGGGAAAACCACCGCGUCGACAGUUUGCUACUGGACGUGCACGAAAACUGUGACUCGGCUUCAUUGGCCAUUGAGAACUGUGAGGCAGAAGACUUUGAUAUUCCACAGCACACUGAGGAUGUUGAUCAAGCUGGACAUGCUGCCGAAAUGGAACAUGGUGUAGAGGUGGUGGAACCCAUGUCCACAUGUGAGGAAAACAAUGGUUUCGAUGUUGCGCCCUCUCCUCCACAAGAGAGCGCCGAUGUCAAACUGGAAGGUGAUGAUGUAGCGACGGCAGAACACGAAGACGCGGAGGAGGAAGACGACAGCGGCUGUAAUGGCGCCCCUUCCUCACACCCAUAG